rnacentral:rRNA from 1 species
GACGUAGGAGGCGAGCGUUGUCCGGAUUCAUUGGGCGUAAAGAGCACGCAGGCGGUUUGGCAAGUCGGAUGUGAAAACCCGAAGCUCAACUUCGGGCCUGCAUCCGAAACUGCCCGACUAGAGGUAGGUAGAGGAGAUCGGAAUUCCUGGUGUAGCGGUGAAAUGCGUAGAGCUCGGGAAGAACAUCGGUGGCGAAAGCGCUCUACUGGACUGCAACUGACACUCAGGGACGAAAGCUAGGGGAGCGAAUGGG